GAGUGAACGCUGGCGGUAGGCCUAACACAUGCAAGUCGAACGGCAGCACAGUAAGAGCUUGCUCUUACGGGUGGCGAGUGGCGGACGGGUGAGGAAUACAUCGGAAUCUACUUUUUCGUGGGGGAUAACGUAGGGAAACUUACGCUAAUACCGCAUACGACCUACGGGUGAAAGCAGGGGAUCUUCGGACCUUGCGCGAUUGAAUGAGCCGAUGUCGGAUUAGCUAGUUGGCGGGGUAAAGGCCCACCAAGGCGACGAUCCGUAGCUGGUCUGAGAGGAUGAUCAGCCACACUGGAACUGAGACACGGUCCAGACUCCUACGGGAGGCAGCAGUGGGGAAUAUUGGACAAUGGGCGCAAGCCUGAUCCAGCCAUACCGCGUGGGUGAAGAAGGCCUUCGGGUUGUAAAGCCCUUUUGUUGGGAAAGAAAAGCAGCAGGUUAAUACCCCGCUGUUCUGACGGUACCCAAAGAAUAAGCACCGGCUAACUUCGG
rnacentral:rRNA from 1 species